CCUACGGGAGGCAGCAGUAGGGAAUCUUGCGCAAUGGGCGAAAGCCUGACGCAGCCAUGCCGCGUGAAUGAUGAAGGUCUUAGGAUUGUAAAAUUCUUUCACCGGGGACGAUAAUGACGGUACCCGGAGAAGAAGCCCCGGCUAACUUCGUGCCAGCAGCCGCGGUAAUACGAAGGGGGCUAGCGUUGCUCGGAAUUACUGGGCGUAAAGGGAGCGUAGGCGGAUAGUUUAGUCAGAGGUGAAAGCCCAGGGCUCAACCUUGGAAUUGCCUUUGAUACUGGCUAUCUUGAGUAUGGGAGAGGUGAGUGGAACUCCGAGUGUAGAGGUGAAAUUCGUAGAUAUUCGGAAGAACACCAGUGGCGAAGGCGACUCACUGGCCCAUUACUGACGCUGAGGCUCGAAAGCGUGGGGAGCAAACAGGAUUAGAUACCCUGGUAGUCCACGCCGUAAACGAUGAGUGCUAGUUGUCGGCAUGCAUGCAUGUCGGUGACGCAGACUACGACAUUAAGACACCUCCGCCGUCGGGGUAGGUACGGUCGGCGAAGAAGUUAAAACUAACAAAUAGAAGUUAGACGGCGUGAGACGUGCCGAACGGACGACCGACCGACGGGGAGGUUAGG
rnacentral:rRNA from 1 species